GUGGGGAAUAUUGGACAAUGGGCGAAAGCCUGAUCCAGCCAUGCCGCGUGUGUGAAGAAGGUCUUCGGAUUGUAAAGCACUUUAAGUUGGGAGGAAGGGCAGUAAGUUAAUACCUUGCUGUUUUGACGUUACCAACAGAAUAAGCACCGGCUAACUUCGUGCCAGCAGCCGCGGUAAUACGAAGGGUGCAAGCGUUAAUCGGAAUUACUGGGCGUAAAGCGCGCGUAGGUGGUUCAGCAAGUUGGAGGUGAAAUCCCCGGGCUCAACCUGGGAACUGCCUCCAAAACUACUGAGCUAGAGUACAGUAGAGGGUAGUGGAAUUUCCUGUGUAGCGGUGAAAUGCGUAGAUAUAGGAAGGAACACCAGUGGCGAAGGCGACUACCUGGACUGAUACUGACACUGAGGUGCGAAAGCGUGGGGAGCAAACAGGAUUAGAAACCCGAGUAGUCC
rnacentral:rRNA from 1 species